CCAUUUUAGAGUUGGCUACUUUGGUUGAUUCCUGGCUUCAAAUGUUUAUGGUCAGGUUUCCUAGGAAAACAACUCUGACACACAGAUUUACAUACAAAACUCUUUUUUGUUUAUUUUUUGGUCUUUUGUUUUGUUUUGUUUCGGGGGGAAAGAAGUGGUUUUCUUUGUCAUCCUGGUCCUUAAUAGUAUUAGCCAAGGCUCCUCUCAGCUGCUCUCCUGCCCUGCUCUGCCCUCUACAGCCCUCUCUUGGAAGGACUCCCCUCUCCACCAGUAGAGGACGCCAAUGUGACAUGAAGGCUGCUGGGAAAUGUAGUCCAUGGUCUUAAAGGGUCUGCUCUGAGUCCCAGGAACCCCUCCUCUAGCUGCAGGAUGGGCUUAAACCUUUUAAGCCUAGAAUUUACAACAGUUUGGGGGCCUUUCUCUCUUGGUUCUUCAAUUAGCCCUAUCCAGAACACUUUGCAAAGCUUAAGGAGAGCCCAGGGCUGUUCACAACUUCCCCUUCCUCUAAGGCCUCCAGCACAGUGAGGUAAUGGAAUUGUGAUUAUGACAUCAUGGACAGUUCAGCUGCUUGCACUGGGGGAAAGGGAGAGUAUCAUGGUUACAGCUGGAUCACCUAAGGCAGAGAGGGAAGGAACCAACAGGUAUAUGAAGAAGACUGUAUUUCCUCCUCAGGAAGAAAAAAUCACCUAUAAUGAAUUACAACAGGAGAAAUUCAGACAUCCAUGCCAUGGGUGCUAAUGCAUUUUUAGAAGCUGAAAAGAUCCAUGGCUAUAACUGCUACCAAGCUCUGGGCUGCAGUAGUGUAUCAUCCAUAACGCAAAUAAGAAUACAACAUAUAGCAUUGAUACAAAGGAUGCACUAAAGGAUGGACACAAAUGAAAGAACUGAGACAUGAAUUUGUUCUUAAGAAAAUUAUUCUCCAUUCUUUGAGAAGUCAACUGAAUAGGAUGAAGAAACUGCUCUAUGUUAUCAAGUUUUUAAAUUUUGUAUUUACUUAUUUACUUUUGUUGUUACUUAAAUCAACUUUAAAAUAAAAUAAAAUUUAUAUUUGAGUAC
rnacentral:lncRNA from 1 species